GGGCGUGAGUCUGAGUGAACUCCAGGAGUUGGUAAUGGACAGGGAGGCCUGGUGUGCUGCGAUUCAUGGGGUCGCAAAGAGUCGGACACGACUGAGCGACUGAACUGAACUGAACUGAAACAAGUAAACAAUGAUGUGAACACUUUUUAAGUCUCUUGCUGUUUGCAGCUGUUGUAACUUUGCCAUUUGAUGUGGUAAAAACACAAAAGCAGACACAACUUUGGAUAUAUGAAAGCCAGAAAAUUUCUAUGCCUUUGCAAAUGUCAACCUGGACUAUAAUGAAGAACAUUGUUGCUAAGAAUGGAUUUUCUGGAUUAUUUACAGGACUGAUUCCUCGUUUAAUUAAAAUUGCUCCUGCUUGUGCGGUUAUGAUCAGUACAUAUGAAUUUGGGAAGUCUUUUUUCCAGAAACAAAAUGCUCAAAGACAGCGAUACUAGAGAUGCUGUUUCAACCUGAAAUAACAGCCAUGACCAAAUAAUAAGAGGAGACUCUUAGGCAAGAGCUUUUUUCACUUUUUUUUGCUAUUAUCUUACAGUGGUUUUCUAUCAUUCUUGUCUAUAAUUUAAAUGAAUAGAAUGAUUAAAUGCAAAGUAGAGAUUUACUAACUUCACAUUUUUAUCCUAAUUUUUGAGAAUUUGAAAAAGAUAUUCCAGAAAUCAUAACCAUUGAGCAUUCCUGUAAAGAAGAGAAAAAUUAUUCUACACUGAAAGCAAUAAUCUCAGAGUUUGGUACAGAUUUCUGUGUAACUUCAUCCUGUUGGGAGCGUCAGAGUCGUCAAACAUUUUUGCAGUUGUGUGCUGAAUGAUGUACAGCGUCUAAGAGAAUUCCCAAGUCUUUUAUACAUGUUUAAAUCAUGGACAUAGAUACAUAAGUGUUUCAACAAAGUAGAUAAUGGAAAGCAGUCUUUAAAUAUUAUUAUUCACAUCAUUUACCAAAUAUUGCCUAUCAGUUAUUUUCUUUAAUUCAUAUGUAUUUGGGUGUUCCCCCCUCCCCCCGCCCUGUUACUAUUUUAAGGCCUCAUGUGUAUUAAGAUUUCUCUGAUCCGAGGUAUGGCUCUCUUACGUUCAUGAACCAAAAAUAUAACUUGUGUGAUAUUGAUGCUGCUAUUUUUGAUGUCUAAAGACCCCGUAUUAUCUACUGUUUCUGUGAGAGAAGCGUUCACUGGCCGUAUUCAAUGUUCACUUCAAACUUGGGUGUGCAGUGGAAAAGCACGUUGCGUUCAGGCAGUGAGAAGGCCGUUUCAGCAUAAGAAAGGCCUCUGGUUUCAACUGUCUUGCCAUCAGGUAUUACCGUUUGUGAAGUUCUCUAGGUCACGUCUGUUCUCUUGUUCUAACGUCACUGAGACAGAGUAUGUUCAAGAUGUCCCUUGACUUUACACAUCUCACACGAGUGUGCUAGACCAAGAACUACCCAGCCAGUUUCCUUGAAGAAGAGCUUUUGGUCACUGGAGGCUAAUGCCUAAGAAGUUUAGUUUAUGAAUGUAAGAAUGAAAAAGAAUAUGAUUUCAAGACAAACAAUAUUUUUAAAUAUUUUUGUUUUUCUCAGGAUCUGUAUACUCUAAGAAAAAGCACUUUAUUGCAGUCUAUCUAUCUGUAUUUUAUGAAAAUGUGAAACAUUUUUUCCCCAAAAUGGAGUAAUAUAUAUUUAAGUGACAAAUCUCUAGUGUUGGUAGGAAUUAAUGUAUUUUCUAAUAUAGUAGAAAACUAUUUAAUGUUUCACCUGAAAUAAACUAUAUAGGGUUUGUAUUUAA